rnacentral:rRNA from 1 species
UACGUAGGGGGCAAGCGUUAUCCGGAAUUACUGGGUGUAAAGGGAGCGUAGACGGUAAUGUAAGUCUGGAGUGAAAGGCGGGGGCCCAACCCCCGGACUGCUCUGGAAACUAUGUUACUAGAGUGCAGGAGAGGUAAGCGGAAUUCCUGGUGUAGCGGUGAAAUGCGUAGAUAUUAGGAGGAACACCAGUGGCGAAGGCGGCCUGCUGGACAGAAACUGACGUUGAGGCUCGAAAGCGUGGGGAGCAAACAGG